GCCUGGGUGGCUCAGUUGGUUAAGUGCCUGACUUCAGCUCAGGUCAUGAUCUUGUGGUUUGUGGGUUUGAAACCCACAUCAGGCU
rfam:Felis catus isolate Cinnamon breed Abyssinian chromosome B3, whole genome shotgun sequence.